AUCAUGGAUGAGAAAUUUAUAUUCUCCACGUGGCCUAAAUUGUUAAUAGCACAAAAAACAUAUACCUUUAUAAAUAUUUAUUUUUAUGUUAUUUGGAAUUUAUUAUGUGAAUUGGUUUUGUUGUGCUUCCCAGUGAAAUUAGUGUUACAAUCAGGUCAGGUGAUUAUGUUAGGAGUCUUUCUUACGUCAAUAAUCUAUUAUUAGGAAACUGUGGUUAUUGCUUGAAUUCAUUAUGUGUGGCAUAUAUAUCUGUUCAAUAAUGUCAAAUGGAAAUUCAAUGUUUUCCAAAUGUUUCCUUCUGUGUUCAUUUUUCACCAUCGUAACUUUGAUGCUAGUUUGAUAUAUUAACAGCUAAAUGCUUUGUUUUUUAACAUGCAACCUCUUCUAGAAAGCAACUAUUGAAUUAUUUCUCAACUCCAUAUCUGCCAAAUCCUCCAUGACUGUGUCUGAAAGAAUAUUGUUUCAGGCCCCCAUGCUCUUCUAAAAACGGAGUCUGAACCAAUUCUGGGAAGGUUUUGAAGAUAUUCACUAUGUUAACAUUAAUUGUGUUGUUGAUGAUACCACCUCAACUCAUUAACUAUCAAGGCAUAUGGUGGAGAAGGAAAUUAAGUAGGGUGGUUGGUUUGUUGGCGAAUUGCUCUCAGUUCUACUACUUAUUAUAAUGGUGCCUCUCUUUCAUAUUUUUCAAAUUUCUUUGCAAUGUUAGUAUUGGAGUUUCCAUUUU